rnacentral:rRNA from 1 species
UGGGGAAUAUUGCACAAUGGGCGCAAGCCUGAUGCAGCAACGCCGCGUGAACGAUGAAGGUCUUCGGAUCGUAAAGUUCUGUUGCAGGGGAAGAUAAUGACGGUACCCUGUGAGGAAGCCCCGGCUAACUACGUGCCAGCAGCCGCGGUAAUACGUAGGGGGCUAGCGUUAUCCGGAUUUACUGGGCGUAAAGGGUGCGUAGGUGGUCUUUCAAGUCGGUGGUUAAAGGCUACGGCUCAACCGUAGUUAGCCUCCGAAACUGGAAGACUUGAGUGGAGGAGAGGAAAGUGGAAUUCCCAGUGUAGCGGUGAAAUGCGUAGAUAUUGGGAGGAACACCAGUAGCGAAGGCGGCUUUCUGGACUGCAACUGACACUGAGGCACGAAAGCGUGGGUAGCAAACAGG